UUGCGGCCAAAUCACGUUGAAACACCGGUUCCCGUACGGUCACCGAAGUUAAGCAACGUCGAACCUGGUCAGUACCUAGAUGGGUGGCCACUUGGGAAUA